UACGGAGGGGGCUAGCGUUGUUCGGAAUUACUGGGCGUAAAGCGCACGUAGGCGGCUUUGUAAGUUAGAGGUGAAAGCCCGGGGCUCAACUCCAGAAUUGCCUUUAAAACUGCAAAGCUAGAAUCAUGGAGAGGUGAGUGGAAUUCCGAGUGUAGAGGUGAAAUUCGUAGAUAUUCGGAAGAACACCAGUGGCGAAGGCGACUCACUGGACAUGUAUUGACGCUGAGGUGCGAAAGCGUGGGGAGCAAACAGG
rnacentral:rRNA from 1 species